GAUGAACGCUGGCGGCGUGCCUAAUACAUGCAAGUCGAGCGAACGGAUGAGAAGCUUGCUUCUCUGAUGUUAGCGGCGGACGGGUGAGUAGCACGUGGAUAACCUACCUAUAAGACUGGGAUAACUUCGGGAAACCGGAGCUAAUACCGGAUAAUAUUUUGAACCGCAUGGUUCAAAAGUGAAAGACGGUCUUGCUGUCACUUAUAGAUGGAUCCGCGCUGCAUUAGCUAGUUGGUAAGGUAACGGCUUACCAAGGCAACGAUGCGUAGCCGAUCUGAGAGGGUGAUCGGCCACACUGGAACUGAGACACGGUCCAGACUCCUACGGGAGGCAGCAGUAGGGAAUUUUCCGCAAUGGGCGAAAGCCUGACGGAGCAACGCCGCGUGAGUGAUGAAGGUCUUCGGAUCGUAAAACUCUGUUAUUAGGGAAGAACAUAUGUGUAAGUAACUGUGCACAUCUUGACGGUACCGAAUCAGAAAGCCACGGCUAACUACGUG
rnacentral:rRNA from 1 species